rnacentral:rRNA from 1 species
GCACAAGCGGUGGAGCAUGUGGUUUAAUUCGAUGCAACGCGAAGAACCUUACCUAGACUUGACAUCCCGGGAAUUCUUAGGAACUAAGAAGUGCCUUUCGGGGAGCCCGGUGACAGGUGGUGCAUGGUUGUCGUCAGCUCGUGUCGUGAGAUGUUGGGUUAAGUCCCGCAACGAGCGCAACCCCUACGUUUAGUUGCUAACGCGUGAAGGCGAGCACUCUAGACGAACUGCCGUUGACAAAACGGAGGAAGGUGGGGAUGACGUCAAAUCAUCAUGCCCCUUAUGUUCUGGGCUACACACGUGCUACAAUGGCCGGUACAGACGGACGCAAAGCCGCGAGGUGGAGCAAAUCCUAAAAAGCCGGUCUCAGUUCGGAUUGCAGGCUGCAACCCGCCUGCAUGAAGUCGGAAUCGCUAGUAAUCGCAGGUCAGCAUACUGUGGUGAAUACGUUCCCGGGCCUU